GCGGGCGUCGUAUAAUGGCUAUUACCCCGGCCUUCCAAGCCGGAGAUGUGGGUUCGAUUCCCAUCGCCCGCUCCA
rnacentral:tRNA from 2 species